UACAGAGGGUGCGAGCGUUGUCCGGAAUCACUGGGCGUAAAGGGCGCGUAGGUGGCUUGGUAAGCGUGUGGUGAAAGCCCGGGGCUCAACCCCGGGUCUGCCGUGCGAACUGCCUGGCUUGAGCGUAGUAGAGGCAGGUGGAAUUUCGGGUGUAGCGGUGGAAUGCGUAGAGAUCCGAAAGAACACCGGUGGCGAAGGCGGCCUGCUGGGCUACUGCUGACACUGAGGCGCGACAGCGUGGGGAGCAAACAGG
rnacentral:rRNA from 1 species